rnacentral:lncRNA from 1 species
GCGCCUUACACCACUCGGCCAUCCUGACCUUAUUGUCAUUAUUUCUGUGAGUAAUAUAUUUGAAUUAACAAUCAACAGAAAAGUAUGUUGGAGACAAAACUUGAAAAAAAUUCUUGGAGAAUAUCAAAAAAUGUACCACAAACAAAUGGAUCUGGAAGCUACCGUUUCCACCAAGAAUUAUCGACUUCCUAUGGGUAACUUGUCAUCAGUGUCUCCCCACGGUGUCAUAUCUGCAUCGAAUUGGCAUAUCCACAUCUGUUGUUUGCUUCCAGUUCAAUAACACAGGUGAAAUUAUACCACAUCUCCUGCUUUUCUGCCCAACCUCUAUUCCAUUUUGGCCUUCAUCCUCUUGUAUUGUCCAUAUAUGCUCAUAAUACAUUGUCUCUCACUUGGAUACCUUCUCUGAUACGUUCUAUUUCAUCCAUGACAUUCCCUCAUGUUCCUCCUUCUAUGAUGCUUGACUUUGGAUUUUGGUCAUUACGGGAAAAUUGAUAUAAUAAUUUCUAUAAUAAUAAUUUCAACAUUUCUUAUCACAAAGCGAUUAUCGUACGAAUAAUAGAAUUUUACAUCAAUAAAUUCAUAUAUGCAUUACUUGUAGAAGAAAAAACCUUAGAUUUGCAUCACUCCAAGCUUGAAAUUUAGAUUUUAUCAAUUAAAUUAGCUUGAAAUAGAGAUUUCCUACAUGGAUAUUGUCUUUGUUUCUUCUUUGAUGAGCGACUAAAUUCUUAGCUAGGGGUGUGUGUUCUAGAUGGGGG